rnacentral:rRNA from 1 species
GAAUUUCGAGAUCAGUACGCUGGUCGUGCCUUCGGUAUGCACUGGUGUCACUGGUUUCUCCCUUUUGAAGAACCGUCAUGUCAUUCAGUUGGUGUGGCGGGGAAUCAGGACUGUUACUUUGAAAAAAUUAGAGUGUUUAAAGCAGGCUCGCGCUUGAAUACAUUAGCAUGGAAUAAUGAAAUAGGACGUGUGACCCUAUUUGUGUG